GGUCUGUAGCUUAGUGGGAGAGCACUUGCCUAGCAUGUAUGAGGCACUGGGUUCAAUCCUUAGCACCA
rnacentral:tRNA from 1 species